UUUCAACUGAACGUCAAAUAUUAUUUUUCUCUAAUCUUAAUCAAUCUUGUCUAGACGACCACUUAGUGUCACAUUUCUACAAAGGAUUGUCUGCUAGAAUAGUGCACCAUGCUGACUUAUGUUCUAAAAGUUACGCGAGGAUGUCCAAGAAAACUCUCGAUUGAAGUUGAACGUAAUCUCCUUAACUCCUCGUACUUGGACAAGGAAACUGAGAAGCAGAAGAUGAAUCUCAAUUGGUUAAAAACUCAGCUUGAUGGGAUUAAAUAUGUGAUAAAUUGCAUCGUUGAGAUAACUUUUUUCCCUCAACAAUCCAAUUUGUCGCAUCUCCAAUCUCAUCAAGUUGACUUCUUAACCAAUAGAUAUUCACCUUCACCCUCUCAGCGUCCUUGACAACCAAGUAACAGGAGUCAAGCAAGAUUACGGUCAAUUUAAGAGCAUUUCUUUGGUGGUCUUGGACAACCUCACAUAUAACCUUUAGAACAGAAGUCUGAAUGGAUCCAACUCUAGCAGAUAACCCUCUGUAGAAAUGCGAUACUAAUGGAUUCUUGGACUUGCUGAAGUAAAUUGGCACUGAGAGAUGUCUUUUUUUCCCCCCGAUUUACUGUAUUUU
rnacentral:lncRNA from 1 species